CUACGGGUGGCUGCAGUGGGGAAUAUUGGGCAAUGGGCGCAAGCCUGACCCAGCAACGCCGCGUGAGGGAAGAAUGUCUUCGGAUUGUAAACCUCUGUCCUUGGGGACGAAAAAAAUGACGGUACCCAAGGAGGAAGCUCCGGCUAACUACGUGCCAGCAGCCGCGGUAAUACGUAGGGAGCAAGCGUGGUCCGGAAUUAUUGGGCGUAAAGGGUGCGUAGGCGGCGCUGUAAGUCAGAUGUGAAAUCCCCGGGCUUAACUCGGGAGUUGCAUUUGAAACUACAGUGCUUGAGUAAAGAAGGGGUAAGUGGAAUUCCUAGUGUAGCGGUGGAAUGCGUAGAUAUUAGGAGGAACACCAGUGGCGAAGGCGACUUACUGGUCUUUUACUGACGCUGAGGCACGAAAGCGUGGGGAGCAAACAGGAUUAGAUACCCCUGUAGUC
rnacentral:rRNA from 1 species